rnacentral:lncRNA from 1 species
CAGCCCUCUUUCCUGCACCUGUUCUUGGGAUUUUUCUUGGUUUUUCUCCAAGGCUGUCCUAGAAAUCACUCUGAUCUAGAAGAUGAGUCAAUAUGUACAUUGGGAAGAAGCAGAAUGUGGUAUACUGGGAAGGCACAGACUACUUAGAAGAGCAAUCACAAGGAAUCAGAAAAGUCUUCAGGAAAGACAUGUGGACAGGACCUUCAAUGUCAGUUCAUGCUGGGGCUGGGCAUUUGAGAAACAAUAUAGUUUCCAGCAAGGGGGAUUCUAAAGGACCCUUGUUUCCUUUGAUGGUCACUGUGGAAUCUCCCUUCAAAACUGCAAGGGCAUUGCUGAUAGAGAACCUAAACACAUUCUAUGAUGAGUGUGAUUGAGUGCUACAGCUCAUGAACACAUGGUUCUUCUCUACUAUGUCUCUGAAGCCAAUACUGUCAUUUUUUUCUAAUGCUGGGGAUGGAACCCCAGGAUCUCAUAUGCACUAUGCAAAUGCUUCUUCACAGGCUACACUUUUGAAA